rnacentral:rRNA from 1 species
AUUGAACGCUGGCGGCAUGCCUUACACAUGCAAGUCGAACGGUAACAGGUCUUCGGAUGCUGACGAGUGGCGAACGGGUGAGUAAUACAUCGGAACGUGCCUAGUAGUGGGGGAUAACUACUCGAAAGAGUGGCUAAUACCGCAUGAGAUCUACGGAUGAAAGCAGGGGAUCGAAAGACCUUGUGCUACUAGAGCGGCCGAUGUCAGAUUAGGUAGUUGGCGGGAAAAAAGCGUACCAUGCAGACGAUCUGUAGCUGGUCUGAGAGGACGAUCAGCCACACUGGGACUGAGACACGGCCCAGACUCCUACGGGAGGCAGCAGUGGGGAAUUUUGGACAAUGGGCGAAAGCCUGAUCCAGCAAUGCCGCGUGCAGGAUGAAGGCCUUCGGGUUGUAGACUGCUUUUGUACGGAACGAAAAGCCCUGGGUUAAUACCCUGGGGUCAUGACGGUACCGUAAGAAUAAGCACCGGCUAACUACGUGCCAGCCGCCGCCGUAAAAC